AGUGAACGCUGGCGGUAGGCCUAACACAUGCAAGUCGAACGGCAGCACAGUAAGAGCUUGCUCUUACGGGUGGCGAGUGGCGGACGGGUGAGGAAUACAUCGGAAUCUACUUUUUCGUGGGGGAUAACGUAGGGAAACUUACGCUAAUACCGCAUACGACCUACGGGUGAAAGCAGGGGAUCUUCGGACCUUGCGCGAUUGAAUGAGCCGAUGUCGGAUUAGCUGGUUGGCGGGGUAAAGGCCCACCAAGGCGACGAUCCGUAGCUGGUCUGAGAGGAUGAUCGGCCACACUGGAACUGAGACACGGUCCAGACUCCUACGGGAGGCAGCAGUGGGGAAUAUUGGGCAAUGGGCGCAAGCCUGAUCCAGCCAUACCGCGUGGGUGAAGAAGGCCUUCGGGUUGUAAAGCCCUUUUGUUGGGAAAGAAAAGCAGCAGGUUAAUACCCCGCUGUUCUGACGGUACCCAAAGAAUAAGCACCGGCUAACUUCGUG
rnacentral:rRNA from 1 species